rnacentral:rRNA from 1 species
GCGCUGCAUUAGCUAGUUGGUAAGGUAACGGCUUACCAAGGCAACGAUGCAUAGCCGACCUGAGAGGGUGAUCGGCCACACUGGAACUGAGACACGGUCCAGACUCCUACGGGAGGCAGCAGUAGGGAAUCUUCCGCAAUGGGCGAAAGCCUGACGGAGCAACGCCGCGUGAGUGAUGAAGGUCUUCGGAUCGUAAAACUCUGUUAUUAGGGAAGAACAUAUGUGUAAGUAACUGUGCACAUCUUGACGGUACCUAAUCAGAAAGCCACGGCUAACUACGUGCCAGCAGCCGCGGUAAUACGUAGGUGGCAAGCGUUAUCCGGAAUUAUUGGGCGUAAAGCGCGCGUAGGCGGUUUUUUAAGUCUGAUGUGAAAGCCCACGGCUCAACCGUGGAGGGUCAUUGGAAACUGGAAAACUUGAGUGCAGAAGAGGAAAGUGGAAUUCCAUGUGUAGCGGUGAAAUGCGCAGAGAUAUGGAGGAACACCAGUGGCGAAGGCGACUUUCUGGUCUGUAACUGACGCUGAUGUGCGAAAGCGUGGGGAUCAAACAGGAUUAGAUACCCUGGUAGUCCACGCCGUAAACGAUGAGUGCUAAGUGUUAGGGGGUUUCCGCCCCUUAGUGCUGCAGCUAACGCAUUAAGCACUCCGCCUGGGGAGUACGACCGCAAGGUUGA